GUGUCGUCUGAGUAAAAACAAACAAAAUUAAAACAAAACUUUCAACAACGGAUCUCUUGGUUCUGGCAUCGAUGAAGAACGCAGCGAAAUGCGAUAAGUAAUGCGAAUUGCAGAAUCCGUGAGUCAUCGAAUCUUUGAACGCAUAUUGCGCCCUCUGGUAUUCCGGAGGGCAUGCCUGUUCGAGCGUCAUUAUCACCCCUCAAGCCCGGCUUGUUGUUGGACCCGGCGGGAGCUUCGCGCCCCCGCCCGUCUCAAAGAUAAUGACGGCGUCUGUGAGGACUCCUGUACACUGAGCUUUCGGGCACGUACUAGGCUAGAAGUCCAGACCCGGUCUUUUUGUCGGCGUCCGCGCCGACACCCCCCUUUUUAUCAAGGUUGACCUCGGAUCAGGUAGGAAUACCCGCUGAACUUAA
rnacentral:rRNA from 1 species